CCUAACACAUGCAAGUCGAACGGUAACAGGAAGCAGCUUGCUGCUUCGCUGACGAGUGGCGGACGGGUGAGUAAUGUCUGGGAAGCUGCCUGAUAGAGGGGGAUAACUACUGGAAACGGUAGCUAAUACCGCAUAAUGUCGCAAGACCAAAGAGGGGGACCUUCGGGCCUCUUGCCAUCGGAUGUGCCCAGAUGGGAUUAGCUUGUUGGUGGGGUAACGGCUCACCAAGGCGACGAUCCCUAGCUGGUCUGAGAGGAUGACCAGCCACACUGGAACUGAGACACGGUCCAGACUCCUACGGGAGGCAGCAGUGGGGAAUAUUGCACAAUGGGCGCAAGCCUGAUGCAGCCAUGCCGCGUGUAUGAAGAAGGCCUUCGGGUUGUAAAGUACUUUCAGCGGGGAGGAAGGGAGUAAAGUUAAUACCUUUGCUCAUUGACGUUACCCGCAGAAGAA
rnacentral:rRNA from 1 species